GACGAACGCUGGCGGCGCGCCUAACACAUGCAAGUCGAACGAGCGAGAGAGAGCUUGCUUUCUCGAGCGAGUGGCGAACGGGUGAGUAACGCGUGAGGAACCUGCCUCAAAGAGGGGGACAACAGUUGGAAACGACUGCUAAUACCGCAUAAGCCCACGACCCGGCAUCGGGUAGAGGGAAAAGGAGCAAUCCGCUUUGAGAUGGCCUCGCGUCCGAUUAGCUAGUUGGUGAGGUAACGGCCCACCAAGGCGACGAUCGGUAGCCGGACUGAGAGGUUGAACGGCCACAUUGGGACUGAGACACGGCCCAGACUCCUACGGGAGGCAGCAGUGGGGAAUAUUGCACAAUGGGGGAAACCCUGAUGCAGCGACGCCGCGUGGAGGAAGAAGGUCUUCGGAUUGUAAACUCCUGUUGUUGAGGAAGAUAAUGACGGUACUCAACAAGGAAGAGACGGCUAACUACGUG
rnacentral:rRNA from 1 species